rnacentral:rRNA from 1 species
AUUGAACGCUGGCGGCAUGCCUUACACAUGCAAGUCGAACGGCAGCAUGGAGAGCUUGCUCUCUGAUGGCGAGUGGCGAACGGGUGAGUAAAGCAUCGGAACGUACCGUGUAAUGGGGGAUAACGUAGCGAAAGUUACGCUAAUACCGCAUACGACCUGAGGGUGAAAGCAGGGGAUCGCAAGACCUUGCGUUAUACGAGCGGCCGAUGUCAGAUUAGCUAGUUGGUAGGGUAAAGGCCUACCAAGGCGACGAUCUGUAGCGGGUCUGAGAGGAUGAUCCGCCACACUGGGACUGAGACACGGCCCAGACUCCUACGGGAGGCAGCAGUGGGGAAUUUUGGACAAUGGGGGCAACCCUGAUCCAGCCAUGCCGCGUGAGUGAAGAAGGCCUUCGGGUUGUAAAGCUCUUUCGGCCGGGAAGAAAUCGCACAGGCUAAUACUCUGUGUGGAUGACGGUACCGGCAUAAGAAGCACCGGCUAACUACGUGCCAGCCGCCGCAGUAA